UAACUUACCUGGCCAGGGAGAUGCCAUGAUUAUGAAGAUGGUUUUCCUAGGGGGAGGCUUAUCCAUUGCACUUGGAUGUGCUGACCCCUGCGACUUCCCCAAAUGUGGGAAACUUGAGUGCAUAAUUUGUGGUAGUGGGGGAUGUAUUUGUGCUCUCCUCUG
rnacentral:snRNA from 1 species